rnacentral:rRNA from 1 species
ACGCCUACGGGGGGCAGCAGUGGGGAAUAUUGCACAAUGGGGGAAACCCUGAUGCAGCGACGCCGCGUGAGUGAAGAAGUAAUCCGUUACGUAAAGCUCUAUCAGCAGGGAAGAGAAUGACGGUACCUGGGUAAGAAGCCCCGGCUAACUACGUGCCAGCAGCCGCGGAAAUACGUAGGGGGCAAGCGUUAUCCGGGUUUACUGGGGGUAAAGGGAGCGUAGACGGCAGAGAAAGUCUGAAGUGAAAG